CCUACGGGAGGCAGCAGUGAGGAAUAUUGGUCAAUGGCCGGAAGGCUGAACCAGCCAUGCCGCGUGAAGGUCAGUGCCCUAUGGGCGUUACACUUCUUUUGUGCGGGAGCAAUACUUGUCACGUGUGGCCAGACGAGAGUACCGUCAGAAUAAGCAUAGGCUAACUCCGUGCCCGCAGCCGCGGUAAUACGGGGGAUGCAAGCGUUAUCCGGCUUUAUUGGGUUUAAAGGGUGCGUAGGCUGUGAGGUAAGUCAGCGGUGAAAUGCCCCCGCGCACCGGGGUGAAGUGCCAUUGAUACUGCCGUGCUGGAAUGCGGAUGACGUGGGAGGAAUGUGUGGUGUAGCGGUGAAAUGCAUAGAGAUCACACAGAACACCGAGUGCGAAGGCAUCACACGAAUCCGCGAUUGACGCUGAUGCACGAAAGCGUGGGUAUCAAACAGGAUUAGAUACCCGGGUAGUC
rnacentral:rRNA from 1 species